rnacentral:lncRNA from 1 species
UAGGGAUCUCAACCAUUGCACGGUUAAAUAAACCACUAGAAUAAAGUGAAUAAUUGGUGUGUGAAGUCUUGUGGUGUUCGUAACGCAUUUACACUGCGAAGCGCUCUGACCUUAGACCAAGCAAUUAAUCACCAAAAAAAAGAAAAAAAUAUAGUGAAUAAAAUAGAAGGGUGUGGACAUUCUUUGGGACCUUGGCUUUUAGUUGGACUUGAGUGACGGGGUGUUAGUUUUAAACUUUUACGAUUCUUGAUUGGGAUUCUGUGGG